AUACGGAGGAUGCAAGCGUUAUCCGGAUUUAUUGGGUUUAAAGGGUGCGUAGGCGGAUGAUUAAGCGUGAGGUGAAAUGCCACUGCUCAACAGUGGAACUGCCUCGCGAACUGGUUGUCUUGAAUGCUCCUGCCGUGGGAGGAAUGUGUGGUGUAGCGGUGAAAUGCUUAGAGAUUACACAGAACACCGAUUGCGAAGGCAUCUCACGAAGGGUUGAUUGACGCUGAGGCACGAAAGCGUGGGGAUCAAACAGGAUUAGAUACCCUGGUAGUCCACGCAGUAAACGAUGAUGGCUAACCGCUGGGCUUAUCAGUUCAGUGGCCAAGCGAAAGCGAUAAGCCAUCCACCUGGGGAGUACGACCGCAAGGUUGAAACUUAAAGGAAUUGACGGGG
rnacentral:rRNA from 1 species